rnacentral:rRNA from 1 species
AGCCAAGCUUGCUUGGUGGAUCAGUGGCGAACGGGUGAGUAACACGUGAGCAACCUGCCCUGAACUCUGGGAUAAGCGCUGGAAACGGCGUCUAAUACUGGAUAUGAGCUGCGGAGGCAUCUUCGUGGUUGGAAAGAUUUUUCGGUUUGGGAUGGGCUCGCGGCCUAUCAGCUUGUUGGUGAGGUAAUGGCUCACCAAGGCGUCGACGGGUAGCCGGCCUGAGAGGGUGACCGGCCACACUGGGACUGAGACACGGCCCAGACUCCUACGGGAGGCAGCAGUGGGGAAUAUUGCACAAUGGGCGGAAGCCUGAUGCAGCAACGCCGCGUGAGGGAUGACGGCCUUCGGGUUGUAAACCUCUUUUAGCAGGGAAGAAGCGAAAGUGACGGUACCUGCAGAAAAAGCGCCGGCUAACUACGUGCCAGCAGCCGCGGUAAUACGUAGGGCGCAAGCGUUAUCCGGAAUUAUUGGGCGUAAAGAGCUCGUAGGCGGUUUGUCGCGUCUGCUGUGAAAUCUGGGGGCUCAACCCCCAGCCUGCAGUGGGUACGGGCAGACUAGAGUGCGGUAGGGGAGAUUGGAAUUCCUGGUGUAGCGGUGGAAUGCGCAGAUAUCAGGAGGAACACCGAUGGCGAAGGCAGAUCUCUGGGCCGUAACUGACGCUGAGGAGCGAAAGGGUGGGGAGCAAACAGGCUUAGAUACCCUGGUAGUCCACCCCGUAAACGUUGGGAACUAGUUGUGGG